GGUGGGGUUUGGAUAAGAGUCAGGCUUUGUGCGGGUCCACCAUUAAGACGGUGGUCCAGAAGAUCGCAGCCGUCUGAUUUGAUUUCAUACUUUUCAAAGUGGAAUCCAAAGGAAAUAAUUGGGGUUUUUCAUAGGGGAAUUGGUGGGUUGGUGAUCCUAUAAAUUAAGAUCAUGGUGCGAUCCUAUUAGUCCAACCUGUAGAUGUGGGGUGUUAGGAGUGUUCAAAGUAGGUAUCAUGCUCUCCAUGCAGCUAAUCCAAGUAAAAAUAUUUAAGACCC
rnacentral:lncRNA from 1 species